CGCCAAACACUAUAGAGAAAAGAUUGUCUCUCAUUUAGUUCUUGCCAUCAACACUAGGGAAGUUAGAUUUUUCAAAUCUCAAGGAGGUAGAGGUUCUUUGGGAUGGUACUAACAAAAGGUUCAAGAGUUUUACCAUCAUAGAAAAGUCGACCACCUAGCCAAGAUGAUUGUAAGCUUUCGAAAAUUUGGAAGAGGUAAUACAUAGGGUUUCUCUUUGGCACACACUGUGAUGUGACGAGUUCCGACGUCAAAGUAUGUAUGGCAUGGGGGUUUCCUAUGGAUGAAUAAACGAUCAACUUAAGUGCCAAAUUUUAAAUAAUGAUGUUAUGGACAUAAAUUUUAAAACUAUUAGUGGGAUUUAAACUUUAUUUAUUUUAAACAUUGCACAAGUACGUUUAUUUUUAUUUUAAAUUAUUGGGCCCAACUUGCAUGUUUUAUCAAAGCCCCAUUGGAUUUCAUAUGUUAAGUGGUUUUCUUCUAUAAUUUUAUGAGUAUGGAGAUGUUUUGCAAAGUAGUA